AGAACAGUGCAUACACAGUUCAUCAUCACAACUCUAAUCCUAUAACAAUAAAAAACUUUAAAAACAAUGAUCAACCCAAAACGCAAAAUUCACAGGUAUAAUAACCCUAACAAAUAUUGAAAUGAAACAAGAAAUCUGAGCGGAGCAAUGCCCCUGGUAAACAAAAUAUACCUAAACACUCAGAGCAAAAGUAGCACUGUAAAAUGGAGUCCAACCAAAACAAGUGUCAAGCACAAACAAUCAUAAAAUCUCUGAGAUAAAAGUUAGUAAGUAGUAAUUAAUGAUGAAAACCCUGAGUACAGAUUCAAAAUUUUAAUUUUUUUUUUUUAAAGACACAGAAAAGCAGAAUAACUAAUUUAUUUUGACUUUCUUGCUCCGACAACCUAAUACCUACUCCGACGAUCCACUUAGAUACACAAAUGCUCUAGCUUUUUCAUUUUAUCAUAAAUUGUGGGGUUAAUUAGAAAAGUAAUUCGAACUACUCUACUAUAAAAUCACUUUUAGAUAAAUAACAGUAAU
rnacentral:lncRNA from 1 species